rnacentral:lncRNA from 1 species
CUCACUGACUGCUGCUGCCUGCGUCUCCUCCCAUGCACACACACGCCCAUACACUCACUCCACCUCCCGUCUCUCUUCCCCCUCACUCCCUCCUUCCCUCUCCCUUCUAUUCCCCCUCUGCCACACACACACACACACACACACACACACACACAUAUAAGGUAAGUAUUCUGUUCACAUAAGGACAUAAUGAAAGAAUACUGGUUGACUUUCAGCUUGCACAGCAACGGUGCCAGCCCCGUGAGUGUGGGCUCCAGCGCCCGUCCCACAGGGUUUAUGGGCUGGCAUGGGGCUCUGGAGUAGCGGAAGGAGGGCUGUGUGUGGGGUCAGGUGGGCCCUGUGCUCCACCUCUUCUGUCCUGAGGAGGUGGUGUGGAUUCCGUGUCCUGUGCUUCAAGUGGGGUGACAUUUUUCCUGGAAACCGGUGUGAGGACCAGAGAUCCCAGGGAACUGCAGACGUCGUCCUGCACACAGGGAGAUGGCAUCGCCUACCCACCUCCUGAGCUCCCUGGGGUUGGCUUCUCUGCUCUCCCUGCCAGUCAGUCCACAGGAGGAGGACAGGAGAGGCUGCAGUUUCCCUCCAGGCAGGACUGGCAGCACACUCCUGGCCUGGGGAGGAGGCAGAUGCUCCGUGUCAACGCUGGACCCUGACGUGCCCUGGCCACUUCCAUCCAUUCUUACUCAGUAUCCCCAGCUGGAGUGAGCCCCGUUUCCAGUCCCCAAGCCUUUGCCUGGCCCAUUUGGGAUUGUGUCUUGGGCGUAGCUUGUCCUUAAGGUUUUGUCUCACUUGUAGGCAUGAGAUCUUGGAAAAUAAUAGCCACGACCCCAUUCCCUCUGACUGUAGAAAACACUGAUGGCAUUAAACAAAUAUCCAUUGCCUUUCGAUGUAACUUCCAUGCAGACGCCCUGGGGUGAGCCUCCGACAUCUACUGACUGUGUGGGCUUGGGGGAGUCCUUUCCCAUCCUCCCCAUUGUCCCCCUAGGAUGAAGGUGCUGGAGGGGGACCUUUGGGUCCCUGGCACUUUCUGAGAGCUUGCAGGACUUGGGAAUUAAAGGCACACCGUGUUUGAAGUGUAUAGACUCUGACCAAAGGAGCUAACGAAGGGCCUUCCUCCAAUUUUACAGUGCAUUUUAAUUAGUUGUGUGCAUGUGAAAUUUCACGUCAACGGCUGCAGCAUGACAACACUGCUUCUGAGUACAGAGGCCUGACUUCUGAGAAAUCAGCGCAGGCUGGAACCAGUCACAUGGCCUUUCCUGACCACAAAUCCCCAUGUGCACACCCAAGCCCAAGAGGAGUUUGGGUUAGUUUUGUCAUCAGACAACUCCCAGGGUCUGUUUCAUCCCAACGUCCAGCCUGCCCAGGCGUGGAAGGAGAGACCAUAGUGUGCACUGGCUGCUCUGAGUCUGCUCAGAAAGUGGAUUGCUAAUUGUUUGAUUUUUCU